rnacentral:lncRNA from 1 species
ACCCCUCUAACAAUCAAUAUUAAUGGCAGGGGUGAAAGUUUACACCUUUGAUAGAAUCAACAAUUGCAGAAAUAACUUCAAAUGAGCUCUGAUCUAACGGUAAGAUGACAGACGGAUUGCUUGUGUUGCUGGGCAGAAUAUGCUGGUAUUAAGUAAUAUCCUAAUGAAGGAAGUUCAAAUGCACAGCACUAAAAGCUCCGGAAAAUGGAUAUAUGAGCCCCUGAUGCAAAUUACCCGGGAAAAUUCGUAGAAAAAAAGACACAAGUGGAGCUACAACAUGUACAAGAAGAAAGAAAACCCUAGAUGUCGGAACAUGUGACUCUGAGACAUAAUCAGAUGAGUUACGCCAAUAGAUUUUCAAGGUAAUAUUAGUGGUAGGUUGUUGUGGACUUAUUUCUUGAAUUAAAAUGCCAGGAUUUCAAUGGGAUAGAAAAGGGCUCAGGGUAGUGUGAAUAAUGCCCAUAUAGUCUCCUAGAGGAUAACUGGUGAAGAAUUCUCUCAUCCUGUAUUUCUUUUGAUUCUACAUCUCUAGUUUUCUUAUCAUACCUGCGUCUCCAUAGUGUCUAUAACUUAUUGAGCCCAUAUUUUGUAUCAAACACUGUAAUAGGCACUUUUUGUGAACCAUAUAGCAUUUAAUAUUAUCACAGAAAAAAGAAAACUAAUAAUUCUCCUUUAUUCUUGUUACAGUAAAAAAUCAAUUUAUUCCAUCAUUUUGCCUUACAAUUUUAUUUAAUAUUAUUAUCAAUGUAAUAUAGGUGGUCAUAGUUUAAAAAGCUGUCAUUAUUCUCUCUUUCUUGAAAACUACUCUAGUUUUUAUUUUUAUUCAGAGAGCUCUACCUUUAUUGAAGCCUUCAACAGUUAAAUGCAAAGAAAAUUGUUAUUAAAUCAAGUCUCUCCACUCAUGAGGUAGGUGUACAUUACAAAGCUAUUAAAUAUUUCAGUGGAAGAAAACCCUGGCAAAGGGUUUGAUGUGGCAAAGACUUUGAUGAAAUUAUACGAAAAUGUCCUGAUGAUUUUAUAACGUAACUAUUUUGAAAAGUUUCUGUUAUUCUUUGUUUUAAUUACUGCUCUUGUAGAAUAUUAAUAUUUAACAGAUUGAAGUUCAUUAAAUCAAUUUAAUGUAAAGGGUAAAACAAUCAUGUAGAUAUAGCUCUAUCAUGAGUUUUAUAAGCAUCCUUUGAAAUUAUAGAAUUAUAUUAGUUUUACAUAAAAGUCAUAAAAGGAGCAUUUAAAUUACCAUUUUUCUUUAAUGCAUGAGUUCAAAGUCAGGUAAACACUAGGCUCAGCUUUAUGUCUCCCUAUACAUAUGAAUAAAUGCCAAUAAUUUUAAUUUAAUUGGGUCCUA